GGCGGCAUGCCUUACACAUGCAAGUCGAACGGCAGCACGGGAGCAAUCCUGGUGGCGAGUGGCGAACGGGUGAGUAACACAUCGGAACGUGCCCAGUCGUGGGGGAUAGCCCGGCGAAAGCCGGAUUAAUACCGCAUACGACCUGAGGGUGAAAGCGGGGGAUCGCAAGACCUCGCGCGAUUGGAGCGGCCGAUGUCAGAUUAGCUAGUUGGCGGGGUAAGAGCCCACCAAGGCGACGAUCUGUAGCUGGUCUGAGAGGACGACCAGCCACACUGGGACUGAGACACGGCCCAGACUCCUACGGGAGGCAGCAGUGGGGAAUUUUGGACAAUGGGCGCAAGCCUGAUCCAGCCAUGCCGCGUGUGGGAAGAAGGCCUUCGGGUUGUAAACCACUUUUGUCAGGGAAGAAACGGCUCUUACUAAUAUUAGGAGCUAAUGACGGUACCUGAAGAAUAAGCACCGGCUAACUACGUGCCAGCAGCCGCGGUAAUACGUAGGGUGCGAGCGUUAAUCGGAAUUACUGGGCGU
rnacentral:rRNA from 1 species